AGAGUUUGAUCCUGGCUCAGGACGAACGCUGGAGGUAUGCCUCAUACAUGCAAGUCGAACGAGAUUCGAUAGAGCUUGCUCUAUUGAUGAGAGUGGCGCACGGGUGAGUAACGCGUGGGUAACCUGCCUCGAAGUUUGGGAUAACACUGGGAAACCAGUGCUAAUACCGACUAAUUUUUAUUACUGUAUGGUGAUUUAAUAAAAGAUGCCCUCUUCUAUGGUAUCGCUUCGAGAGGGGCCUGCGUCCUAUUAGCUAGUUGGUGGGGUAACAGCCUACCAAGGCGAAGAUGGGUAGCCGGCUUGAGAGAGUGAUCGGCCACACUGGAACUGAGACACGGUCCAGACUCCUACGGGAGGCAGCAGUAGGGAAUAUUCCGCAAUGGGCGAAAGCCUGACGGAGCAAUACCUCGUGAGUGAUGAAGGCUUUAGGGUCGUAAAGCUCAGUCAGCAGGGAAGAAGGGCUAUGGUUCGAAUAGGGCUAUAGUUUUGACGGUACCUGCAGAGGAAGCCACGGCUAAUUACGUGCCAGCAGCCGCGGUAAUACGUAAGUGGCAAGCGUUGUCCGGAUUUACUGGGCGUAAAGAACGCGUAGGCGGUUUUCUAAGUUGGGGGUGAAAUCCUGAGGCCCAACCUCAGGCCUGCCUCCAAAACUGGAGAACUAGAGUUUCGGAGAGGAAGAUGGUAUUCCAUGUGUAGCGGUGAAAUGCGUAGAUAUAUGGGAGAACACCAAUGGCGAAAGCAGUCUUCUGGACGAAUACUGACGCUGAGGCGUGAAAGCGUGGGUAGCGAACAGGAUUAGAUACCCUGGUAGUCCACGCCGUAAACGAUG
rnacentral:rRNA from 1 species